rnacentral:rRNA from 1 species
AUUGAACGCUGGCGGCAGGCCUAACACAUGCAAGUCGAGCGAGCGGCGGACGGGUGAGUAAUGUAUGGGGACUGCCCGAUAGAGGGGGAUAACUACUGGAAAAGGUAGAAAAUACCGCAUACUAUCGGAUAACCCAUAUGGGAUUAGCUAGUAGGGGAGGUAAUGGGUCACCUAGGCGACGAUCCCUAGCUGGUCUGAGAGGAUGAUCAGCCACAUGGGGACUGAGACACGGCCCAGACUCCUACGGAGGCAGCAGUGGGGAAUAUUGCACAAUGGGCGCAAGCCUUAUGCAGCCAUGCCGCGUGUAUGAAGAAGGCCCUAGGGUUGUAAAGUACUUUCAGUCGGGAGGCGUUACCGACAGAAGAAGCACCGGCUAACUCCGUGCCAGCAGCCGCGGUAAUAC